CUUCUAUGCCACAACUUGUCCCCACUAAGCUCUUGGAUGCAGACACUAAAGGUAAUUAUCUACUGCUCCAAUGCCCGGAGUUCCAGUUUUGCAUUUUUGUCUUUGUGGAAUUUUGCAGCAGUCCAGUUCUAUAUGAACUCCUUGGAGGUUUUGUCACCACUGUAAUAUCCUGGUGUUUCUAAGGGUGCCUGGCACAGGGUUGAUACUCUUAAAGGAGCUACUGAGGGAGGAAGCGAUUGAACUAAUUAAUGUAAAGGCAUGGGAACCAACAAGGAUGUUGAAGCGUGAGGUCUGUGGGUGUUUGUGAGUACCUUUGAGCAAUAUUGUUCAUUUUAGUCCCUUGAAAUUUUAGCUCUUAAGUCUGCCAUGUGAUAGGUUUAUAUGAAACUGGAGGAUUUCUGCUUCAUUCUUUGCCACAAAAGUGCAGUCCAUAUGACGAUAGUAUAGUUUGAAACAAAAGUACUUGCAUGCCUAUUUUCUAUUUUCAAUGUUGAUUUAGACUUUUUUCUUUCAGCAAGAGACAAAGGGCUUUUCAGAGAGGGUUCUAAAGCAGAGAUAUCUGUGUUUGAUAAAAAAUCAACUGACUUAACUGUGUCCAAAUGUGGGUGUUCAGAGAUUUUUGCCAGUGACGGUAUAUCCUUUUGAAAUAAAAAUUAGUGAGGAAAUCAUUUGGCAUUAAGAAAUCUUCCUUGGUCUGCAUCUCCCACUGGAAACCUCUGCUGUGAAUUAGGGAGGAGUGGCCCAUGGGCAGGCAGACCUGCCCUAUGUUUCUGACUCUGAAUCCAAUUGACUGUGUGACCUUGGGAAACUUCCUUAGUCCUUUUGAGCUUCAAUUUUCUCAGCUGUAAAAAUUAAGUGUUGGCUUAGUUACUUAAGGAAGUUCUAACAUUCUGCGAUUUUGAUUUUAUGUCUUAAAGAACGAAAAGUCCUUUGAAGCAGAAAAUGUGAAACUAAUGUCAUUAUUUACUUUAAAGAAAAAAAGGAAGUUAUGGAAAGAGAGGCCUUUACCGAAUAAAUGAAUCAGGACACUCCCCACCAAGCAAAGCAGGAAGUCAGAUUUUUUUUUCUCAUUUGGAAAUGAGAGAGAGAGAGAGAGAGAGAGAGAGAGAGAGAGAGAGAGAGAGAAUUAAAUAAAACAAAGCAAAAGAAAAAUGCCUGCAGUGUUUCUCCCUGUUUCUAAGGUCCUUUUCAGAAGGUAGGAGUGAGUGAUCAGUGAGUGCUUUGCUUUUUCUGGAAUUACACCCUUCCCCAAUUUUGUUUCCAACUUGGUGAUAAAAUAAGAUUUUGUUAUCUGUUAAAUAGCUCAUCUAUUCUAAAAUAAAUAUUCGUUUUGCAGAAGAAAAGAUGAGUAUUUGUAAUUUUCUGAGGGAGUUUGAAAAGCAGAAAUCUAGAUUUUGUAUGAUGAGGUGAAGAAGAAAUAAGACUGGGUACUGAUAGUCCUAUCAAGAAACUCACUUAUGAGUUUAAAAGGGAGGGAGAGAGAGAUAGGAAGGGAACAAGAUGUGGACUCAGGACCAAGAGUGAUGGGAUCAUUAAGAUUACCAGGAUGGAUGGAAGCAAGUCUGUAUGCUGGGAGGGAUGAACCAGUAAAGGCAGAGUUUAAAUACAAAUGGGAAAAUGAGGCUAAGGGACAUAAGAGGAUUCCUGGGAAGACAGACUUAGUAGCAGACUAAAGAUAGAGUGACUAGCCACUACUCUUGAUACAGGAAGUACCAGAUGGAUGCAGAUAGAGCCACAUGUACAGAUUGGCAUCAUGGUGUUGAGAGUUCACUGAGAGAUGGCAAAGUGGUAACGAGGUAGGGAUCUUGGAAACAUCAGUGAAAAUAUGAUGUUUAACAGAAGGGAAUAGAAGAGGAAGCCAGCAAUGCUCAGCAAGGGCCAUCCUUCCAGCCACCAAAACUCUAUGUGAACCCACAAUGUAAUUUCUUUCAAUAGCCUCUUCAUGCUGAGGCUCAGAGUUCCUUUCUUGGCCCUUCAUUUCUCCCAGCCAUGCUCUCUAUAACUCUGCACUAAGUGGCUCACUCUGGUGGCCUCUACAGACACUUAGCCACAAAGACUGAAUUUAUAGACCCAUCUUUCAGUUCCAGUGAUUCAGAUCCUAUUGUUCAACAGUUUAGAUCCACAUAAAUUUAUGUCUGACAUGUUUCUUCCUACACCUGGUAGAGUUUCUGAGUGUAUUGUAAUCUAAAAUUACUCUUUCCACAUGGGGCAAGAUGCAGUUUUAAAUUCAAUGCUCCCUAAGAUUUUCCUUUAAGGUUAUAACAUUAUAUGAGCCUCGAAUUCUGGGAAAUCAAUUGUUUUGCUUUGAAUAUUACAAGCCUUUUCCUUCUAUCUAUAAUUUAUUUUCAGAGCUCAGUAUGAGGUAAUCAUUCAUAUAACUCAGUGAAAAUUGGGAAACACUCACUGAUCUACCUACUGCAUAUAAUAAAAACCUAUUUCUCCCACCUUGGUUUAGCUUCCCUAUGACAUGGACUGUAGCAGGGAUUGGAAAUUGUUCCUUCCAAUAUUCCUAGUACUUAAAAAACAGUGCCUAAUAUACAGAUACAUUCAAUAUUAGAAGUGAAAUUAAUGAAUAGAUGAAUGAUAUAUCGAGUGAAAUAUGUCUAAUCACCUUUAUCUUUUCCAAUAAGUGCAUGCUCUCUCUUUUUAAAAUAUUUUAUUUCAGUUUGAUAAUUAAGUUUUAAAAUUGUUGGACUCUAUAUCUCUGCACCAAUGACUAAGGGAUUAUUCAAAAGAGAGAUAAAUGUUAAAUUGUAAAAGAGUAACCCAAAGUUCUAACAGAUGCCAUUUUUACUAGAAGUACUGGUUUUUCCAUGGGUUAUUCUUUCAGUGACAAGGGUGUGAACCAAAGAAACAUAAGCAUGAUCUUAAAAAGGGAUGAUAUUACAGGCUUAGUGGUGCAUGCCUGUAAUACCAGCUACUCAGGAGACUGAGGUAAAAGGAUCACAGGUUCAAAGCCAGCCUGAGCAACUUAGUGAGACCCUGUCUCAAAAUAAAAAGUAAAAAGGACUGGGGAUGUAACUGAGUGGUAGAGCAGCCCUGAGUUCAAACCCUGGUGUAACCCCCCCCCCCAAAAAAAAAAAAAAAGAAGAAGAACAUUAUCUCCCUUAAGUCCGUUGCAUAAUUGUUGUUAAUAAUAGUUGUGAAAAUACACAGAAAGGUGAAAUUCAUCUGGAAGUAAGUUCUUAGGCAUUUCAAGUAGAUUAAAGCAGAGAAAGGGGUAGGGACUACUCUAAAUUCUUGAAAAGAGUCAUGCUGACAGAAUGAAAGAUGGUUAAAGCCACCAAGAAGUCAGGAAAUGCAAACCCCAUCACCAAAAGAAUACUAUGAACAUUCAAAUGAUUUGUUUUUCUUUUGUGCAGCAAAACUCCUCAGAGAUAUCUUCCAAACCGAAACGCUCAAAACAUUACUCAGUGCAAAACAAAGGUAAAUCACCAUAAAACCAAUUAUUAUAAAGGGUGGGAAGAGAGAAUAUAAAAACAUAAUGCAAAGACAACUCAAUGGCAGCUAUUAAAAAAUCUACAUGAACCCACAAUAAAAAAUUAAAAAUAUAAAAAAAAAUAAAAAAAAAAAUCUACAUGAGAAGUGUAAGAGAGUAUCAGCCAGCUGUGGUGUCCAGGCCAAUGGACACUAUUCAGUGCUGAUACAGCAGUAUUGGGGAUUUGAUGCUCAGAGAGACUACCAAGUAGUAGUUUCAUCACAAAUUAUCCCCAUUUCCACAGUUAGACACAGGAUGUGUGUGUGUGUGUGUGUGUGUGUGUGUAGGCACAUGCACACAUGCAUGUAUAUAUCUGUGGUACUGAUCAUCCAAGCCAUGGGGUUGAGAAGUGGGUAGAUAACAUCAACAUGUAUCCUAAUGGGAGAAAUCACCCCAUUUGUGCCAGCUGCUGAGUAGCAGGAAUGGGACCAUGGGAUUGUGUCCAAGUGCUGGACAUAUACUGUUAAAAUGACCCAGGGGAGGGAGGAACCACACCUUUUGAGGAUUAGACAGGACUCUCCCCUCCACCUAUGAUACCCAUUGGUCCUACAUUCAUAUACUGGAGGUUCAUUAAAGCUAAGAUUCGUUAAAGCUGUUUUAUGCAUUUGUUUCUCAUCAAUAGAAUGAAAAACUAAGAGACUGCUAAGGCUCCUUCCAGUGAUGGCAUGCUGUGAUCUCAAUCUGUUAUGUUGUUUCCCAGCAAUAUCUGAAAAAGAUAAUACUUCACUUCUGAAAUGAGAGAUGCCUGACAAAUGCAAGCUUCAGUGAUGUCAGAAAUGCUCAUACAAACACAUCUAUAUCUUCCCCUAACAUCUUCCUAAAACUAAGAGAUUCCCAGCUUAUUUUCAUUUUGGUCUCACAUUUGAUUCCAACAUGGUAGCAAUAAUUUUUAUCCUGUUUUCCCCCUCAGGCAACAAUGCAAUUUCUCAUAAGGGAGAUUCCUCCAACAACAUCAUGCUUACUCAGUUCUUAUCAACUGAAGAAGGUCAGGAACCAUAAAAUCAAGGAAAAAAAGUUGGAGCAACUUGACAUUUGGAGUUCAAUGUCAGUGAAGAAAUUAUGGUCACUAGUGGCUUCAUCACUGCGUCCUUUAUCUUAAAUUAAAUGGAAAAAUUUAUUUUCAUGUGGUUUGAUUUUUUAAAAAUGCUACAUAGCUGCAGAAAAAUAGGUUUCUUUGGAAAUUGUGUUAGUUAUACCUUCCUGACUAUGAAAUAUGGUUUCCUUUUUCAUAAAAGUAAUACUAUUCAUGUAGUAUUUCUAAUCAUCUGAAUUGGAAUAUGAAAAUGUCCUGAAGUAGCCUUAGAUAAAUUGAUAAACUAUGCUCACUUUCUUGUCAAAAAGUCACUGGUGCCAAUUUCUAGAGAAAAAGCAUUUCUUCUCCAAAUUUUCCAGUUGAAUUUGAUGCUUGUUUUUGCUUCUUAGGUGCAGUCUCUUAAUGUUGAAAGUUAAUCAGACAUAAAAUAAAAACUUCCAUUUCAGAUAUUUUUGUAGUCAUUUAUCAGGAAGUAAAAGAAUGUGAUUUGAUAGGUGAUGUGGCAGUUGUCACUUUACAAUGCACUAUUGUGUGGUCUGCCACCAGCAAAGUGAAGUGUCCAAGCAGACCUAGUACAGAUAUAAGGAAAUGGGGACCCAGAAGUAAAUUGACUCACCAAAGAUUGUGAAGCUAAGAAAGGGCAACAGGGAAUGUACUUUGGAUUCCUCGUCCAUUUCUAUAGCCUCAGGACAACCUAGAAAAUUAUAUACAAUUCUAAGAAAUCUUUAUGAAGUUAAAUAUAUGAUUCAUCACUCCUAGAAUUCUGUGUAAGAGGGGAAUUGAUGGAAAGACUUUGUCCGCUUCCAAGGAGGUAUCUCCAAACAUCAUGAUUUUCUUUUACUGUAGGAGCUUUUUGGAAGUUAUUCACAUGUACGGUCAAUUCUGCUUUCGGAUGAGAUACAGAGUACAGGUGAAUAGAUGCUAGAAGCAGUGUUUCUCUUACAUAAUUCUGUCACUUGGGGUUCACCUGAGUUUCAGCCCUGACCACAGUGCACAGAAGAACUAAGCCCUCAGAUUCAUCCUUACUGUUUUGAGAGUUACAGAGUUUGAAAGUAUCUGUUAGCUCUUGACAUGAAAAACCUUCAUCAUUAUUAAAUAAAGAUAGCAUAGGGGAAUGUCUACUUAAGUAGACAGGCAUAGAGAAAAUUCACAAGCACCAAGAUGCAGCAGCAUACAUGAAAUACCAAAGUUUAAAGGAAACGACUGAGGACCAGUUGGUUAGGUGUUUCUAUAUCCCACGAAGGUAUAAAAGACUUCGAAGGAAAUUUUAUGAGAAACAUUUCCUUGGAGAGAACUGAUACAUAAGCCUUCUCACUCCACCUACCCCUAAAAUAAGAGAAGGAGGAAUGUGUGGCCCCUGACCUUAAAUAAAGUGAAAGGACUUCGCAGAUAGUGUUUUAUGUGACCACAACAAUUAGAAUGUAUGGGGUCCUGAUUAGGGGUUGGAUUCUUGCAUGGAACUAUGGCCAUGGCUUUGGUGGUAGAGCCCGUUUAGGACUUUGUGUUGGGACUAGUCUGUAUGCCCAAUGUGUGUGAGGGCAAAGGAUAUGUGUGAUUUCCCAUGGGCCAUGGUGAGAUAUAUAAGAGAGCCAACGUGGGUUUGUGUUGGGUUCUCUGAUACGGUCAUCCAAAGAGGUAAAGGAAUCCCAGAAUCAAGAAUUUACAGAUGAAACUUUAGGAUAAGGAACAAGUCACAAGGGACUGCCAAUGACAUAGAAGAAUCUGUACAGGCUACAGAAAACACAAGUGAGAAUUUAGGGUCAAGGGGAUUUUUUUUUUUUCUAAAGACUUCUGGGAUUUUUCUUCUUUCAUUAUUUUGAGUUAUUGUCCAGAGAGCCUGAAGGUGAACUUGUCUCAUAAAAUACCUCUCUUCCCUGUGGCUUUGGGCACAGGAGGUUUUCCUCAGUGUCCAUGGGGUGGAAGAAGAAUGAGAAAAAUUAAACAACUUCAACCAGCAAGAGAAGAUGUGUUAGUGCACAUAGAAGUCCAAAGUGGGACUUGGAGAACAAGAAGAAUUUAAUGCUAACUUGUUUGUAGUUUCUUGUUAUUGCAUGAUACUGGGAAUCAGUAUUUAAAUUAAUAUCAAAUAUUUAAAUUAAUCAAGACAUUGCUAUUACCCGAAUGUAUUGGCAUAUAACAGUAUAUCAAUGGGAGGGAAAGUGUCUCUCACUUAAUAAAUUUUAUAAGAAUAAUCUGAAACAAAAAAAUGUUUCAUCACAUACCAUGUGUGUCUAAACCAUUGGUUAUACACAUGUGCCUAAAAAUUCUUUUAAAACAGCAAUAAAAGGAUAAAAAAG
rnacentral:lncRNA from 1 species